GCUGGGUAUGGUGGUGCACACCUGUAAUCCUAGCAGCUCAGGAGGCUGAGGAAGGAGGAUUGCAAGUUUGAAGCUAGUCUCGGCAACUUAGUGAGACUGUAAGCAAUCUAGAAAGACCCUGUCUCAA
rnacentral:sRNA from 1 species